CUUCUGUCAUCUUAUUAUGUGUAGGUGUCAACAGACCUUGGUGGACUUGGUCUUACCAACACUCAGUAUGCCCGUCUGGUUGAGAUCGUUGGUGCCCAUGAUCUAGCUAUAGGAAUAGUUCUGGGUGCUCAUCAGUCCAUUGGAUUUAAAGGAAUUCUACUUUAUGGAAACAAGGAGCAAAAAGAGAAGUACUUGCCAUUGCUUGCACCAGCAGAAAAGAUGGCAGCAUUUUGUUUAACUGAACCAUCCAGUGGAUCUGAUGCGGGGUCCAUACGCACCCGAGCUGAGCUAAGCAGUGAUGGGAAACAUUAUAUUUUAAAUGGAGGCAAGCUAUGGUG